rnacentral:rRNA from 1 species
GUCUACAGCCAUGCCACCCUGAACGUGGUGAUCCCUCUGACCUUGGAAGCUAAGCAGGGUCGGACCUGGUUAGUACUUGGAUGGGAGACCAUCUAGGAAGACCAGGUGCUGUAGGCG